UUUGUCACUGGUAAGGGCGUAUGGUGGAUGCCUUGGUAGACAGGACCGAUGAAGGACGUGACGGGCUGCGAUAUGCCUCGGGGAGCUGCCGAGUGGGCUUUGAUCCGAGGAUUUCCGAAUGGGGA
rnacentral:ncRNA from 1 species